rnacentral:rRNA from 1 species
GACGAACGCUGGCGGCGUGCUUAACACAUGCAAGUCGAACGGAAAGGCCCUGCUUUUGUGGGGUGCUCGAGUGGCGAACGGGUGAGUAACACGUGAGUAACCUGCCCUUGACUUUGGGAUAACUUCAGGAAACUGGGGCUAAUACCGGAUAGGAGCUCCUGCUGCAUGGUGGGGGUUGGAAAGUUUCGGCGGUUGGGGAUGGACUCGCGGCUUAUCAGCUUGUUGGUGGGGUAGUGGCUUACCAAGGCUUUGACGGGUAGCCGGCCUGAGAGGGUGACCGGCCACAUUGGGACUGAGAUACGGCCCAGACUCCUACGGGAGGCAGCAGUGGGGAAUAUUGCACAAUGGGCGGAAGCCGGAUGCAGCAACGCCGCGUGCGGGAUGACGGCCUUCGGGUUGUAAACCGCUUUCGCCUGUGACGAAGCGUGAGUGACGGUAAUGGGUAAAGAAGCACCGGCUAGCUACGUG